GCUGAGCACGGUGACACAUGCCUAUAAUCCCAGCAACUCUGGAGGCUGAGGCAGGAGAAUCACCAGUUCUUAGGGCCUCAGGAAAAUAGAGGCCCUAAGCAACUCAGUAAGACCCUGUCUCUA
rnacentral:sRNA from 1 species